rnacentral:ncRNA from 1 species
CCCACAUCCGCAGCAGGUGUCCAAGGUGAACAGCCUCUAGUCGAUGGACCAAUGUAGGUAAGGGAAGUCGGCAAAACGGAUCCGUAACCUUGGGAUAAGGAUUGGCUCUGAGGACUGAGCCGGUCGGGCUGGGGACCUGAAGCAGGAACGGCACUGCACCGGGACUGGGCGGGGCUCGCCGUUCACGCGGCGCGGCCAAGCCCGGACCAGCGUCGGGACCUUCCUGUGGAAAGCCUCAGCUGCGCGGCGUCCGAGGGCUUCGUGCCCAAAGUGCUAUGCUUCGGCCGGCAAAAAACAGUCAACUCAGAACUGGCACGGACCGGGGGAAUCCGACUGUCUAAUUAAAACAAAGCAUUGCGAUGGCCGCUGGUCGGUGUUGACGCAAUGUGAUUUCUGCCCAGUGCUCUGAAUGUCAACGUGAAGAGAUUCAUCAAAGCGCGGGUAAACGGCGGGAGUAACUAUGACUCUGGCGCUCUAGUGUCGAGCCUAUCCCCGGCCGCUGCCGGCAGAUGCACGCAAACAAGGGGGUGCUAAGCUGCAGCGAGU